CCUACGGGAGGCAGCAGUAGGGAAUCUUCCACAAUGGACGAAAGUCUGAUGGAGCAACGCCGCGUGAGUGAAGAAGGGUUUCGGCUCGUAAAGCACUGUUGGUAGUGAAGAAAGAUAGAGGGAGUAACUGGACUUUAUUUGACGGGAAUUACUUAGAAAGUCACGGCUAACUACGUGCCAGCAGCCGCGGUAAUACGUAGGUGGCAAGCGUUGUCCGGAUUUAUUGGGCGUAAAGCGAGUGCAGGCGGUUCAAUAAGUCUGAUGUGAAAUCCUUCGGCUCAACCGGAGAAUUGCAUCAGAAACUGUUGAACUUGAGUGCAGAAGAGGAGAGUUGAACUCCAUGUGUAGCGGUGGAAUGCGUAGAUAUAUGGAAGAACACCAGUGGCGAAGGCGGCUCUCUGGUCUGCAACUGACGCUGAGGCUCGAAAGCAUGGGUAGCGAACAGGAUUAGAUACCCGAGUAGUC
rnacentral:rRNA from 1 species